rfam:Sulfitobacter mediterraneus strain 1FIGIMAR09 PM02_008, whole genome shotgun sequence.
GACAUGCCACAACGGCUUCCUGACGUGGCAGUUUUUUAUCUAUUGGAGCG